GGGUGGUUGCUAUGCAGUUACCAAUGUACUCAGGGUGGUUGCUAGGGAGCUGCUAUGUAGUUGUCAAGGUAUUUGGGUGGUUGCUAUGCAGUUGCCAAUGUACUCAGAGUGGUUGCUAGGGAGUUUCUAUGUAGUUGUCAAGGUACUUGGGUGGUUGCUAUGCAGUUGCCAAUGUACUCAGAGUGGUUGCUAUGGAGUUGCCAGUGUACUCAGGGUGGUUGCUAGGGAGUUCCUAUGUAGUUGUCAAGGUACUUGGGUGGUUGCUAUGCAGUUGCCAAUGUACUCAGAGUGGUUGCUAGGGAGUUGCUAUGUAGUUGUCAAGGUACUUGGGUGGUUGCUAUGCAGUUGCCAAUGUACUCAGAGUGGUUGCUAGGGAGUUGCUAUGUAGUUGUCAAGGUACUUGGGUGGUUGCUAUGCAGUUGCCAAUGUACUCAGGGUGGUUGCUAGGGAGUUGCUAUGUAGUGUCUUCACUGUAGUUCACACACACACACAUUCAGACACAGAAACUUCAGCGCUGACCUGCAAAUUUUACCAAUAAAAUAUUUUAACUGCUGAAGAGCUGCAUGAUCUUCCUCUGCAAGGAGUUUAUAACAUCACUGUUAUUUGAAUCAUUUAAAGUCACAGCUGCACUGAUAAAUGAUAAACAGCAAAAAUGGAAGUAAUUCAUACAUACACAGACUCUCUCUCAUAAAUAAAAACACUUGAUCAAUGACACUUUUCUGAGAAUAGAUUAUGAAGUGUUGAUCACUAAACUGUAAGUUUAUGGUGUUUUCAGAAAAGCAGUGCUUUUAUCUACAGUAGGGAGAGAACGUUCACAUGGUUGCCAGGUUGACAAAAAUAGGGAACACAUUUAGCAGAUAUUUCAAUAUUACAGAUGUGAAUCUGUUUCAGUGAUUACGUCUCUUUAUAUCAGACCUCAGUUGUGUUCCUCUGUGUCCAGAUUCAACUUUGUAGUAGCCUAUAAUAUACUCUAUUCACUGUUUUUCUGUUUUUAUUUAAAUUAAGUGCAGUUCACUGCUGAUACAGAAACAGCUGCAUGAAUAUCCUUAUCAAGUAGUACAUUGUAAUGUGUAUCAAACAGUCUUAGUUUCUAGGGUCUUGCUUUGCUGUUGUAAAAUAGCAUAGCAUUGUUGUGAAAUAUUACAAUUUAAAAUAACUCAGAAUGAUUUCAAAAAUAAAUUAUUUCUGAAGGAUCAUGUGACUGAAGACAAUGAAGACUGAAGUAAUUGCUGAUAAAAAAACAACUUUCAGAGGAAUAAUUGUAUUGUUAAAGUAUUUUAAAAUAGAAACUUAUUUUAUAUUUCAAUUAUACUUCAUUAUAUUACUGUUUUAUCUUUAUUUUUGAUC